UACGGAGGAUGCGAGCGUUAUCCGGAUUUAUUGGGUUUAAAGGGUGCGCAGGCGGGAUGUUAAGUCGGCGGUGAAAUUUUGCAGCUCAACUGUAAAAGUGCCUUCGAUACUGGCUUCCUUGAGUGUGGAUGAAGUAGGCGGAAUUUGUGGUGUAGCGGUGAAAUGCUUAGAUAUCACGAGGAACUCCGGUUGCGCAGGCAGCUUACUAAACCACUACUGACGCUCAUGCACGAAGGCGUGGGGAGUCAAACAGGAUUAGAUACCCCGGUA
rnacentral:rRNA from 1 species